rnacentral:rRNA from 1 species
AGUGAACGCUGGCGGUAGGCCUAACACAUGCAAGUCGAACGGCAGCACAGUAAGAGCUUGCUCUUACGGGUGGCGAGUGGCGGACGGGUGAGGAAUACAUCGGAAUCUACUUUUUCGUGGGGGAUAACGUAGGGAAACUUACGCUAAUACCGCAUACGACCUACGGGUGAAAGCAGGGGAUCUUUGGACCUUGCGCGAUUGAAUGAGCCGAUGUCGGAGUAGCUAGUUGGCGGGGUAAAGGCCCACCAAGGCGACGAUCCGUAGCUGGUCUGAGGGGAUGAUCAGCCACACUGGAACUGAGACACGGUCCAGACUCCUACGGGAGGCAGCAGUGGGGAAUAUUGGACAAUGGGCGCAAGCCUGAUCCAGCCAUACCGCGUGGGUGAAGAAGGCCUUCGGGUUGUAAAGCCCUUUUGUUGGGAAAGAAAAGCAGCAGGUUAAUACCCCGCUGUUCCGACGGUACCCAAAGAAUAAGCACCGGCUAACUUCGUG